AGAAUGUGUAAUGGUUCGUUCGUGUAAUUGUUCUACUGACUUUCCAUAUUUUUGUACCUCCUCUUACAAUGUAGGCUUUUUCCCCCCUUUCCUGUUGGUAAAUGGGUGAGCCUGCCCUGUGGGUUUGCCUCCCUGCACAUUCCAGGGCACGUCCAGGGGCGGGGCCUGGCCAGCCCAAGUCCUUGUAGGGAAAUAGCGCAGAGGGCUGCGCGGCCCACGUGACCCGCGCCCGCGCUUCCCAGAGGGCUAGACCCCGGCCGCCGGACGGUCGUGCGCCUGCGCGCGGGACUCACUCAGGGCGUAGGUCUCUGUCUGUGAGGUCUACGGGUAGGAGGUUCUAUCUCCGUGUACUGUGCUGUUUCGAAGGGUCCCACCUCUUAUACAUUGGAGCAAACUUUCCUCAGUCCCCAGGGCUCUCAGCCAAGCGGCCACUACUUUUUUUUGGCCCAGGCGGAUGUCAUGAGGUCACGGAUGAUGAAGACUUCCUCCCUCUUCAAAACCGUUUGCUGUUAUUUUUCCCACCCGAGCCCCGGUUAACAAGGGAAGUCGGGACCUGACUAGGAGGGAAGACAGGCGACCAGCAAGAGCUAACUAAAUCUUGCCCCAAUCUCUCACUGUGAAGCGGACUUGCGGCUUGAUGAAAAUAGGGAUUAAAAAGUGCGGCCUAUGUUUUCUCAGCUCUCCUUUUCUUGGACAGCUUCUAACAAUGCAUCUUGUUAAAGGAAAGCCCGCCCCAGUUCUGUCCUCUGCCCUUUUCCAUCCAGAGUCUGGUGAGGAAGAGAAGACUGUGGUGCUGGUCACCUCAGCUCUCUGAGCUCAACUACAAAAGGAGUGAGUUGGACCGAUAUUACUGAGGAUCGUCAUCCCAGCCCUGAGGUUCAGUGCCUACUUUGGCUCACGUGGCCAGAACAGUUCUGACGUUGGGGGUGGCUGUGGUUUUGGCCUCUCACUUGAAUCACCCUGCUAAAAGGAAGCUAAAAGUUGCAUUAUUAUGUAUUCUGAAUAUUAACACACUGCAACUUCGAGGACCUCAGGAGCAUUUUAUCUACUAACCAAUAGCAUAUUCCAAGGUUAACAUUGAGGAAAUCCAGAACAAGAUAAAAAUGAGAAUGUUGGAAAAUGAUAUUGAAACAGACGACUGAGAGUUUUCCAGGAUUGAGAGUCAAAAAUCUUUACAAUCUUUAUUCCGGUUGAAGAUGCACCCAAAUAUGAAACAAGAAAAAUAAAAAUAAAUCUGUACCAAGUCAUGUCCCAGUGAAACUUCAGAACAUCAAGAGUAAAAAGGAAAAUAGUACAAACUUACAGAGAGAAAAGAGAUUGCCUGCAAUAGACUGACAGUGGGUCCAACAGCAUGCUUUCCUCCAGCAACAAUACAUGCUGAAGGCGGGUGACCGGUAUGUUCAAAGUGCUAUGAGAAGUACCACCUACUCCUCACACCAUCUGUAUGUGGAACUGAUGCACAGAGCUCUGACAAUUCUUUCUGAAGAAUUCCGUAUGCUGGUCUCUCUAGAAUCUUUCAGG